rnacentral:rRNA from 1 species
GAUGAACGCUAGCGGCGGGCCUAAUACAUGCAAGUCGAGGGGUAGAAGAGGCUUGCUUCUUUGAGACCGGCGCACGGGUGCGUAACGCGUAUGCAAUCUACCUGUAACUCGGGGAUAGCCUUUUGAAAGAAAGAUUAAUACCCGGUAAUACUGAGAGUGAGCAUUCAUAUUCAGUUAAAGAUUUAUCGGUUACAGAUGAGGAUGCGUCCCAUUGGAUAGUUGGUAGGGUAACGGCCUACCAAGUCUGCGAUGGGUAGGGGUUCUGAGAGGAAGGUCCCCCACAUUGGAACUGAGACACGGUCCAAACUCCUACGGGAGGCAGCAGUGAGGAAUAUUGGUCAAUGGGCGAGAGCCUGAACCAGCCAAGUCGCGUGAAGGAUGACUGCCCUAUGGGUUGUAAACUUCUUUUUUAGGGGAAUAAAGUGAGUCACGUGUGACUUUUUGUAUGUACCCUACGAAUAAGCAUCGGCUAACUCCGUGCCAGCCGCCGCGGUAA